GAUGAACGCUGGCGGCGUGCCUAAUACAUGCAAGUCGAGCGAACGGAGGAGAAGCUUGCCUCCUUGAUGUUAGCGGCGCACGGGUGAGUAACAUGUGGAUAACCUACCUAUAAGGAGGGGAUAAAUUCGGGAAACCGGAGCUAAUACCGGAUAAUAUUUUGAACCGCAAGGUUCAAGAGUGAAAGACGGUCUUGCUGCCACUUAUAGAUGGAUCCACGCUGCAUUAGCUAGUUGGUAAGGUAACGGCUUACCAAGGCAACGAUCCAUAGCCGACCUGAGAGGGUGAUCGGCCACACUGGAACUGAGACACGGUCCAGACUCCUACGGGAGGCAGCAGUGGGGAAUCUUGCGCAAUGGGCGAAAGCCUGACGGAGCAACGCCGCGUGUGUGAUGAAGGUCUUCGGAUCGUAAAAUUCUGUUAUUAGGGAAGAACAUAGGUGUAAUUAACUGUGCACAUCUUGACGUUACCUGAUCAGAAAGCCACGGCUAACUACGUG
rnacentral:rRNA from 1 species